CAGACGCAGUCCUCGACAUCUGGAUAGAGGUGACCUUCGCCACCUCCCUGUACUACAAUCGGGUACUGACCAUCUGGAUCAGUUGGAGGAAGCUGAGGCUAGUGUGGACAACGGAUUUCGAGAGAACAGAGCUUUCGAAAAUGAAGCUGGGGACAAUGCACAAUGUGCUGACAACACGCAGCUGUCCAUUUCGGUGUCCGUUGAAAAAUUAUGCGAGUAUGUGACCGCUAAAGAGUCAGCCGACCGUUUCCAAUUUCAGUUCGAGAAAUUCGCGGUUGGCUUACACGCCAAGCACUUGAUUGCCGACCUGCCGAUAAACAAAUUCAAAAGUCGAUUUAGAAACCUAGUG